rnacentral:rRNA from 1 species
UACGUAGGGGGCUAGCGUUGUCCGGAUUUAUUGGGCGUAAAGAGCGUGUAGGCGGCCAGGUAGGUCUGCUGUGAAAACUCGAGGCUCAACCUCGAGACGUCGGCGGAAACCAUCUGGCUAGAGUCCGGAAGAGGAGAGUGGAAUUCCUGGUGUAGCGGUGAAAUGCGCAGAUAUCAGGAAGAACACCCGUGGCGAAGGCGGCUCUCUGGGACGGUACUGACGCUGAGGAACGAAAGCGUGGGUAGCGAACAGG